rnacentral:rRNA from 1 species
GAUGAACGCUGGCGGCGUGCCUAAUACAUGCAAGUCGAGCGAACAGACGAGGAGCUUGCUCCUCUGACGUUAGCGGCGGACGGGGGAGUAACACGUGGAUAACCUACCUAUAAAACUGGGAUAACUUCGGGAAACCGGAGCUAAUACCGGAUAAUAUAUUGAACCGCAUGGUUCAAUAGUGAAAGACGGUUUUGCUGUCACUUAUAGAUGGAUCCGCGCCGCAUUAGCUAGUUGGUAAGGUAACGGCUUACCAAGGCAACGAUGCGUAGCCGACCUGAGAGGGUGAUCGGCCACACUGGAACUGAGACACGGUCCAGACUCCUACGGGAGGCAGCAGUAGGGAAUCUUCCGCAAUGGGCGAAAGCCUGACGGAGCAACGCCGCGUGAGUGAUGAAGGUCUUCGGAUCGUAAAACUCUGUUAUUAGGGAAGAACAAAUGUGUAAGUAACUAUGCACGUCUUGACGGUACCUAAUCAGAAAGCCACGGCUAACUACGUG